UACGAAGGGUGCAAGCGUUACUCGGAAUUACUGGGCGUAAAGCGUGCGUAGGUGGUUUGUUAAGUCUGAUGUGAAAGCCCUGGGCUCAACCUGGGAAUUGCAUUGGAUACUGGCAGGCUAGAGUGCGGUAGAGGAUGGCGGAAUUCCCGGUGUAGCAGUGAAAUGCGUAGAGAUCGGGAGGAACAUCUGUGGCGAAGGCAGCUUGCUGGGCCACUCCUGACACUGAGGUACGAAAGCGUGGGGAGCGAACAGG
rnacentral:rRNA from 1 species